AGGGCAUAUUCGAGAUGAAGAAAAAACAUUGCUAGACUUUAUUUAUUACACAGUGACCUGUGAUGAACUGAAUGAUCCAGUUCCAAAAGUAAAUCAAAGGGGCUCAAUUGGAUACAUUCUACGAUUUAUCUUUUGUCCAACUCAGGUUGUUCGGCCUAAACUUUGAAAUUCAGUUUUCACUUCACCACAAAUUACAAUUUUGUGAAAAAACAAACAAUCCCUAG